rnacentral:rRNA from 1 species
UACAGAGGGUGCAAGCGUUAAUCGGAAUUACUGGGCGUAAAGGGCGCGUAGGUGGUUACGUAAGUGAAAUGUGAAAUCCCCGGGCUUAACCUGGGAACUGCAUUUGUGACUGGCAAGCUAGAGUAUGGCAGAGGGGGGUAGAAUUCCACGUGUAGCAGUGAAAUGCGUAGAGAUGUGGAGGAAUACCGAUGGCGAAGGCAGCCCCCUGGGCCAAUACUGACGCUCAUGCACGAAAGCGUGGGGAGCAAACAGG